AUUUUGAAAAUCGAAGCCACUCUUUUGUUUUCGAGAACAACAAGGAAAAAGUUGGAGACCUCGAGGGCUCGGAACUUUCGGUACUUUGUUCAGUCGAAGUCGCGCAGCCGUAGGGGUUGAGCUCUAGCUCAACCCGUGGGAGGAUAAUCAAAUCGGAAGUAUAUUUUAUCGAAAAUUUAUUCAUCUCGGGACCGCGUGUGAUAAUCGUGCGCUUCAAGUGUAUUACCAUCAGUGUAGUUUCGUGUUCGGUACUAUACUUUCGUGUUCGGUACUAAAUUUUCGUGUUCGGUACUUUAUUAUUAAAAUUUCUCUCUGUGGAAUAUUUCGUAAAUAUAGAAGGUGCAGUGAAUAAUUGAACAACCUUACUAUUCGAAAGUUUUCUAUCCGCCGAAAGUUUUAGUCUGCAAGCCUCUACUUUUUCCGUUCAGUGCGAUAGUUUGCCGUGUUUUACAAUAAGUGGAAGUAGUUUUGUCACUCGUGUCGGUUGUCAUCGUGCGAAUUUUCGGUAGUGUCUUUUCAGUGAUAUUCCAGUGAAAUUUGAUUUGAGGAUAUCGUUUCGGAAGUCAUUUUGCUCACGUGUAUUCCUCAGCGUUGAUUCGCCAACAUUCGAGAAGGCGAUGAAGAGGAUGGAAAUCUUCACCCUACGCAUCAGAGCUGUUCCUGACCUUGCAGAUCAUCGCUUCUUCACGGUAAGAUCUCUCAAG